UCUUUAAAAAAUUAAAUAAAUGAAGAAUUCAGGAGAUUGGCAUGUCCCUUGUGCAAGGCUGACACACAAAUUUGUGAAGAGUUCCAUAUUUAA
ensembl:snRNA U6 U6 spliceosomal RNA